CAAAACAUACAACAAACUGAUUAAGAUCACGUGGAUAAGGGCCUCCAGUGCCAACGAUCUUCAAGUCAAGUUAACCUGGCGAUUGGAGCAGCUGACUCCGACUGCGAGUGGAGCGGCGACAGCCCAUUGCACCUGACACACUCACCUGAGAUGGAGGAACAACAUGUGGUGCACUGGAAAAAUGGUUCUCGACUCGUUCUGCCAUUGAUUGGCCAGCGAGGACAGGAGGGGGGAACAGCAUGGAGCAUUACCAGAUGACUUUCCGUUUUGCUCAACAUUCACAUCAAAAUUCCUCGCCAUCAUCCCGGGUGAUAAAAUGCGAGGAACCUCUGUUAACCGUUAAGAUAAUCAUCAAUGAAUGCGCGAAUGGGUGAAUGAGUGGAGUGAAUAAAAAGUUCGGCACCUCGCAUUCCGUCGCUUGUGUAUCUCAUGGAUUCGGUUGUUUAUGGUCCAAAUGCGGUACCGAUCUGCCAUGUCAAAGAAGUUUAUUCAGUGGCCAAUUAAAUUCGCCGGCGCUUCGAUCGGUGAAAGCAUUUCUUCAACCACUUUCGUUGACCAGGGCCAUGUUGAUUAAUUCGUUUGCAUCAAUCAAAAGUGGCGGCUAAUUUUAUGAUAUAUGCAAAUUUCUAAAGUUUUAGCCCUGAGAAAUGGGUCUAGAGAAUUAAUACGACGAUAAUUACGAUUUAAGUUUUCACUAUAACGAAAUUGUAUAAAACAAUAGUGUAGGGUAAUGUCUAUGAAUUGGUAACUUCAAAAGUAGUGUUAAGAUUUUUGACAUUUUAUAGUAAUGUAAGUACACAUUAC